CUUAAGGAACACUACCAGGCGCUGCAGGAGGAGAGCCAGGCUCAGUUGGAAAGGGAGAAGGAGAAGAGCCAGAGGGAAGCCCAGGCCGCCUGGGAGACCCAGCACCAGUUGGCAUUGGUGCAGUCUGAGGUGCGGCGGCUGGAAGGAGAGCUGGAUACAGCUCGGAGAGAGAGAGAUGCCCUGCAGCUGGAAAUGAGCUUGGUGCAGGCCCGGUAUGAAAGCCAGCGGAUCCAGCUGGAGUCGGAGCUGGCUGUGCAGCUGGAGCAGCGGGUGACAGAGCGGCUGGCGCAGGCUCAGGAGAGCAGCCUACGGCAAGCAGCCUCCCUCAGGGAACAUCACAGGAAGCAGCUGCAGGACCUGAGUGGACAGCACCAGCAGGAGCUGGCCAGUCAGCUAGCUCAGUUCAAGGUGGAAAUGGCAGAACGAGAGGAACGGCAACAGCAGGUGGCUGAGGACUACGAGCUCAGACUGGCCCGGGAGCAAGCGCGAGUGUGCGAACUGCAGAGUGGGAACCAGCAGCUGGAGGAGCAGCGGGUGGAGCUGGUGGAAAGACUGCAGGCCAUGCUGCAGGCCCACUGGGAUGAGGCCAACCAGCUGCUCAGCACCACUCUCCCGCCGCCCAACCCUCCAGCUCCUCCUGCUGGACCCUCCAGCCCUGGGCCUCAGGAGCCGGAGAAGGAGGAGAGGAGGGUCUGGACUAUGCCUCCCAUGGCCGUGGCCCUGAAGCCUGUAUUGCAGCAGAGCCGGGAAGCAAGGGACGAGCUACCUGGAGCGCCUCCUGUUCUUUGCAGUUCCUCCUCAGAUCUUAGCCUCCUGUUGGGCCCCUCUUUUCAGAGCCAGCAUUCUUUCCAGCCCCUGGAGCCCAAACCAGACCUCACUUCAUCCACAGCUGGGGCCUUCUCUGCACCUGGGGCCUUCCAUCCCGAUCAUAGGGCAGAAAGGCCAUUCCCUGAGGAAGAUCCUGGACCUGACGGGGAGGGCCUCCUAAAGCAAGGGCUGCCGCCUGCUCAGCUGGAGGGCCUCAAGAAUUUUUUGCACCAGUUGCUGGAGACAGUGCCCCAGAACAAUGAGAACCCUUCUGUCGACCUGUUGCCCCCUAAGUCUGGUCCUCUGACUGUCCCAUCUUGGGAGGAAGCCCCUCAAGUGCCACGUAUUCCACCGCCUGUCCACAAAACCAAAGUUCCCUUAGCCAUGGCAUCCAGUCUUUUCCGGGUCCCUGAGCUUCCCUCCUCCCAUUCACAAGGCAGUGGUCCCAGCAGUGGUUCCCCAGAGAGAGGUGGAGAUGGGCUUACAUUCCCAAGGCAGCUGAUGGAGGUGUCUCAACUGUUGCGACUCUACCAGGCUCGGGGCUGGGGGGCUCUGCCUGCUGAGGAUCUCCUGCUCUACCUGAAGAGGCUGGAACACAGCGGGUACAAGCCUGGGAGGAAGGAGGAAGGAUUCUCCGGGUAGAAGCUGGAUUAUGGGGAGUGGAGUGGGUGUGUUUUACACUGAAUUGAAUCGUUGUCCUUUUCUGGGGAGGAACGUGAAGGAUGAGAGGUGGAUCCACAGAUCUUCUUCUCUUACUGCCCCACACCUUUCUUUUAUCUCUUCCUUUCUAUUGCUUCUUUCUUCUAAACAAAAAAAUCUUUUCCCCGGGUCUCUCUACCUUCGUUUUUUUCCUCUUUACCCCUCAGCUCAAAACUCAGAAUCCUAGACUUUUGACUAGCUAGUGUAACUCAUUAUUUACUUCCACUAAUGUCUCCUCCCAGUUGAUGCCCAGGUCUAUCGAGUUUGAUCUUAUUCUUAAGAGAUAGAAUUGGGGAGUAGUUCUUCCAUCCAGUAUUGGGUAACCGGGGGGACGGAGAUCCCCAUCCUCAUACCUUUGAUUUGUGUAGCAGGACUGAUGGCCGAGGGGAUAAUGUCCCCAGAAGGAACACAGACUCGCGCUUGGAUUCCCUCCCAGGCUGUCCCUCGCCGCCUUGCUACAGCCCCCAAGACUGAAAAACCUCCCGCACGGAAGAAAAGUGGGCACCCUGCCCCGAGUAGCAUGAGGAGCCGGGGGGGAGUCUGGAGAUGAGCCCCCCUACCCUCUCUCCUCUUUGUUCUCUCGUUGUUGUUAUUUUAAUAAAUGCUCAAUAGUCUGUAUCAGAGUCUCUGGCUCAUAGGAAUUUGGCAAACAGAGGUUUUGUAGGAAAUCACUUUGUAAAGAAACCACAUUUGGUUGAGUACUUUUUUUUAUAUGUUACAUGUUUAUAUGUCAUUUCCUGUGGGAAAAGACAUGAAUGCUUUGGAAGACGGUCUAUGACAAGAUUUGGAAAGUUGGAGCGGCUAAGAUUCAGUGGACAAAGCUAAAACCUGCAGAGCAAUGAACUCUGGGUGGUAGUGGAAUUAUGGGUGAUUCUUAGUUUUUUAAUACGUUUCUGUAUUUUCCAAAUUUUCUAAAACAAGUAUAUGUUACUUUAAUAAUCAGAAAAGACCCAAACUUU
rnacentral:sRNA from 1 species